UAUUAUGAGAGUUUGAUCCUGGCUCAGGACGAACGCUGGCGGCGUGCCUAAUACAUGCAAGUCGAACGCUUCUUUCCUCCCGAGUGCUUGCACUCAAUUGGAAAGAGGAGUGGCGGACGGGUGAGUAACACGUGGGUAACCUACCCAUCAGAGGGGGAUAACACUUGGAAACAGGUGCUAAUACCGCAUAACAGUUUAUGCCGCAUGGCAUAAGAGUGAAAGGCGCUUUCGGGUGUCGCUGAUGGAUGGACCCGCGGUGCAUUAGCUAGUUGGUGAGGUAACGGCUCACCAAGGCCACGAUGCAUAGCCGACCUGAGAGGGUGAUCGGCCACACUGGGACUGAGACACGGCCCAGACUCCUACGGGAGGCAGCAGUAGGGAAUCUUCGGCAAUGGACGAAAGUCUGACCGAGCAACGCCGCGUGAGUGAAGAAGGUUUUCGGAUCGUAAAACUCUGUUGUUAGAGAAGAACAAGGACGUUAGUAACUGAACGUCCCCUGACGGUAUCUAACCAGAAAGCCACGGCUAACUACGUGCCAGCAGCCGCGGUAAUACGUAGGUGGCAAGCGUUGUCCGGAUUUAUUGGGCGUAAAGCGAGCGCAGGCGGUUUCUUAAGUCUGAUGUGAAAGCCCCCGGCU
rnacentral:rRNA from 1 species